rnacentral:rRNA from 1 species
CCMAAACCCCCUGUGACAUACCAAUUGUUGCCUCGGCGGAUCAGCCCGCUCCCGGUAAAACGGGACGGCCCGCCAGAGGACCCCUAAACUCUGUUUCUAUAUGUAACUUCUGAGUAAAACCAUAAAUAAAUCAAAACUUUCAACAACGGAUCUCUUGGUUCUGGCAUCGAUGAAGAACGCAGCAAAAUGCGAUAAGUAAUGUGAAUUGCAGAAUUCAGUGAAUCAUCGAAUCUUUGAACGCACAUUGCGCCCGCCAGUAUUCUGGCGGGCAUGCCUGUUCGAGCGUCAUUUCAACCCUCAAGCCCAGCUUGGUGUUGGGACUCGCGAGUCAAAUCGCGUUCCCCAAAUUGAUUGGCGGUCACGUCGAGCUUCCAUAGCGUAGUAGUAAAACCCUCGUUACUGGUAAUCGUCGCGGCCACGCCGUUAAACCCCAACUUCUGAAUGUUGACCUCGGAUCAGGUAGGAAUACCCGCUGAACUUA